GUAAAAAUUUGCAUGGUAUGAUUUUAAAAACUUGAAUUUUUAACUUAAUGUUCUAUGUUCUGUAGUAAUCUCAUUUUCAUGUUACCAAAGGAAACCUGUUAUGACCAGAAUAAAUUAUUUUCCCAACAUUGAACUAAGAAUUCCUAGAGCUGGGGAAAUAAAGGAAUGUCCUUUGCUGCCAGCCUCCUUCCUUCCUCCUUAGGAUACCUCUUUAAAAUUAAUUAUUAGUUUGGUUUUCCCAUUUAAUAGAGAAAUUAUUUAGGAUGUUUUCUAAAAUGUCCAAGUAGCUAGCUAUAACUUGCUGUUUAUUCUUUGAUUGACAGUGACUAAUGUCAUUUCACAGUGGCCAGGAAAUGUGGGCUGUAUGAUCUCCACUUUGAGAGGAUUUUGACCCAAUGCCUGGGUCAUUUAUGUGGCUGGCCUCUGGAUAUCUGAAAGUAAUAUGAAUCCUUCAUUUGCUGGUUUCAAAGUACUAUCUACCUAUCUUCCUGUCUAUCACAUAAAUGUUUCCAGUGAUGCCAUCAAUAGUUACAGAAAUUGAUUGAUUUUUAUAUAUCUGACCUAUUGAUUUCUA
rnacentral:lncRNA from 10 species